rnacentral:lncRNA from 1 species
CCAACUCCAGAGCGUGUAAACGAGCAUGCCAACCGCGUGGUCACCGCGUGACUGUGGCAUUGCCACGCAUUCUGGACAGCGUAGGCAUGUCUGGUGGGUUGAUCACUCCCACGUUAUGUGUUAGUAAGAAUAAUAGAACAGAAGAAUCUCACGAGUAGACUGAAAUAAGCUCAAACAUGAAUUAGCAGCCAAGUGUUUGAUCAGUGGUGGGGGAAAUUUACAUGGCCAAUGGGCCUAAUUUUUGGGUGAGAAUGAUCAUCUACUAAGGAGACUGUCUUGGCAAAUUUUCAGCUCAAAUGAAGGAGCCUAGGUGGCACUUGCUUUGGAAAGUACCAGACUGGGCAGAAAUAUGGAUGUUGAAGCUGAGCUCAAAUGAAUGAAUGGAUUGAUCUAAAAUUUGGUGGAGGAUGGUGAUUUGGGCAU